GGUUUGCAAGGGAAAAAAUCUGGGUAAUCGAUGACAAUCUACCUCCACGAGUUCAUAAAAUCAUCAUUAGUUGAUCUUCAUCUCAAACCAUCAGAAGAGGACUUAAAGCAAUGGUUUGACAGGUAAAAGCAAAACCAUCAUCAUCCUUUUAUGUUCUUUAUCUUUAUAGAUUCUGAAUUUUAUGUGUGUGUUUCUUUUUUGAGUUCUGGGUUUCACUUGCUAUAGAUGGCCACUCAACAUUGAUUUCUUUAGAAACAUCAAUGGCAAACCCUUCAGAUUCUUAUUUGCAUAUCAUACUUACCUCGCUGUCUCAGAUAUAAGGGUUAGAAACAUUUGAGCACUUGGAGAACCUCAGCAAAAAGGAGCUUUUAACAGAUAAAGGCGACAUCAAUAACCUUUAAAUCUGAGAUGGACCGGACUUACCUUGGAGAUAUCCCAAAAUGGUAGCAGUUCUUGAUAAUGAACGGAAAAGAACACAUGUUAUUGGAAAAGAAUGACUUCUAAACACGUUGUAUGUAAACCAUGGGAAGGUGAAUUUAGGGGACGAUGAGUACAAAAACAUACUUUGUGUGGAUGGUUAUUACUUUGAAGCCAUGAGAAGAAUGGACCAGCCAGCUUAUAUUAAUCUCUGUUAAGAUCAGUCUCUGCUUUGAUCAACUUGAACAACAGAGCAAAGGUGCUGGCUUUUUCUUACCAGUCUUACAAGAAAGACCCAGUUCCAAGAAGCUGAGCUGGAAAAACAGCCAAGCAGCUCAAAGAGGCGUUUACAAUCUCUAGCGAAGAAACGAACAGAUGUGCGGCAACAAAAAAAAGGUUAUCAUAUCUCUUAUCGCAUAAGAAAUUUCAAAGCUCAAAAUUAGUAAUAUGCUGUUUGCGAGUACGAGUGAUUUCUUAUGACUCCGUUAUCAGCAUCACUGAAAUUAUGCAGGUGAAAUACAUGGCUGAAAUAUUACCUGUUCGAUCAGCUCGAACUGUGAAGUCUCCUCGGUCCCUUGAUUCAUUUGGUUCCAGUCCAGGCCGCGUUGACCCUUAUAAUAUCUUAAACCAACCAAAUGGGAACGCGAGCAAAAUGGUGUAAAUACCACAAUGUUUUCUAAUUGGACCAUUACACAUGUACUUGGAAAUGGAGAAGCAUCGACUGAAGCACAUAACAAGAAUGAAUGGGUUGAGAAAGAUGCGCCUGACGUCUACAUCAUUCUUACAGCCUUAGCCAGUGGUGUUACCGACCUCAAACGUGUCUGUUUCAGCCGAACAGUGAGAAACAAACGUAAUAGUGGUGGUCAGAUAACAGAAGAAGAGUCUACGAACAAUACAAUAUACGAAUGGUCGACAAAACCAGUACGGAAAUGCCUCACUGAGACUCUUUUACCCCCAACCAUUUCUGUGAUUUUCCCAAGCCCGAGGCAUCUGAGUGCAAAUCUUGGGAUAUAACAUAUCUUCUAUAUAUAAAGAUAGAAAAAUUAAAGUUUUGAAAGUGUUUUACGUCUUCAUUGUAGUUUGGGGGCUCUGUGGUGUUUAUUGUGAGAAGGUAGUAAAUUCUACAUGUAAAAAAUCUGUCCUGACGUCCUCACAAUGGGUUUCGAUCAGAUUUGUAGAUUCAUUGCAACAUUUGGGAAGUAAAGAACUACUACAGAUUAUUACAACCAUUUCUUUCACGGUACUCAUGAUGACUUGAGGAAAAAUGUUUCAGAAGGUUAGUUUUGAUGAGCUGAGUUUUUUUGUUAGUUUAGAGGAUAUAAUAGAUUUUCGGUGAGGGUUUAUAAGUUUUUCAGUGAUCCAUAUUGUACAUCUUUCAGGGGACUAGCUUUCUGCUUUUAAAUGGUCUAAGGAAUAGUGUGCAGCUUGAUCAACCUUCUGAUUUAUAACGUGAGACCGCCAAAGAUUAUAAAAGAAAACUGUUAACUAUGAUCGAUGCGGCGAAAAUACAUUGUUGAUCAAAAAAGAACACGU